rnacentral:rRNA from 1 species
AGUGAACGCUGGCGGCAUGCCUAACACAUGCAAGUCGAACGGUAACGGGCCUUCGGGUGCCGACGAGUGGCGGACGGGGGCGUAAUACAGCGGAACGUGCCCGAACGUAGGGGAUAACGGGGGGAAAGGUAGGCUAAUACACCCUACGAUCUAAGACGGACAACGGGGGAACGCAAGGGCUUGUGGGACCGGGGGGGCCGGUGGGAGCCGAUGUCGGAUUAGGGAGUUGGUGGGGUAAAGGCGCACCAAGGCGACGAUCCGUAGAUGGUCUGAGAGGAUGAUCAGCCACACUGGGACUGAGACACGGCCCCGACUCCUACGGGAGGCCGCAGUGGGGAAUUUUGGACAAUGGGCGCAAGCCUGAUCCAGCCCUGCCGCGGGGAGUAUAGAGGCCUUCGGGUUGGUAACGGCUUUUGUUCGGAACGAAAAGCCUUCUUGUAAUACAGGAGGGUCAUGACGGUACCGUAAGAAUAAGCACCGGCUAACUACGUG